UACAGAGGUGGCAAGCGUUGUUCGGAAUUACUGGGCGUAAAGGGCGCGUAGGCGGCCUUCUAAGUCAGACGUGAAAUCCCCAGGCUUAACUUGGGAACUGCGUCUGAUACUGGGAGGCUUGAGUGCGGGAGAGGGAUGUGGAACUCCAGGUGUAGCGGUGAAAUGCGUAGAUAUCUGGAGGAACACCGGUGGCGAAGGCGGCAUCCUGGACCGACACUGACGCUGAGGCGCGAAAGCUAGGGGAGCAAACGGG
rnacentral:rRNA from 1 species